GGAAGGCGCAAGUAGGACACCUGCAUUACUUGCAAACAAGGCGCACCAUACUUGUGGCUUUCUUGCAAGUCGUGCAGUUGCUGCCUCAAGCUUGCUGCCUCC
ncrna:Triticum aestivum miR444b stem-loop (tae-MIR444b)